rnacentral:misc_RNA from 1 species
GUGAAUCAUCGAAUUUUUGAAGCAAAUUUCACUUUCUUGUAUUCCGGAAAGUAUGCCUGUUUGAGGGUUCGUUAAAUUAAAAUCGGGUUUGUUUCUGCCUUUUGUGGUUACGCGUCGGAAUUGAGUUGUCUUACCUUUGGUUAAGUGACUUAAAAUUUUGCCUGAUUUUUGAACGUAUUUAAAUUUUUUACGUAAGUUUUAACAAACGAAAAAUUUAUUAAGUUCGGCCAUCCU